UGGGGAAUAUUGGACAAUGGGUGAGAGCCUGAUCCAGCCAUGCCGCGUGCAGGAAGAAGGCGUUAUGCGUUGUAAACUGCUUUUUGCCAGGGGAUAAAAAGACCGUGCGCGGUUAAUUGAAGGUACCUGGUGAAUAAGCACCGGCUAACUCUGUGCCAGCAGCCGCGGUAAUACAGAGGGUGCAAGCGUUAAUCGGAAUUACUGGGCGUAAAGCGCGCGUAGGUGGUUAGUUAAGUUGGAUGUGAAAUCCCCGGGCUCAACCUGGGAACUGCAUUCAAAACUGACUGACUAGAGUAUGGUAGAGGGUGGUGGAAUUUCCUGUGUAGCGGUGAAAUGCGUAGAUAUAGGAAGGAACACCAGUGGCGAAGGCGACCACCUGGACUGAUACUGACACUGAGGUGCGAAAGCGUGGGGAGCAAACAGGAUUAGAUACCCGAGUAGUCCCUGAGCGGGCUGGCAAGGCGCAU
rnacentral:rRNA from 1 species